rnacentral:rRNA from 1 species
AAACCAACAGGGAUUGCCUUAGUAACGGCGAGUGAAGCGGCAAGAGCUCAAAUUUGAAAUCUGGCACUUUCAGUGUCCGAGUUGUAAUUUGAAGAAGGUAUCUUUGGAGUUGGCCCCUGUCUAUGUUCCUUGGAACAGGACGUCACAGAGGGUGAGAAUCCCGUGCGAUGGGGAGACCAAUUCUAUGUAAAGUUCCUUCGAAGAGUCGAGUUGUUUGGGAAUGCAGCUCUAAGUGGGUGGUAAAUUCCAUCUAAAGCUAAAUAUUGGCGAGAGACCGAUAGCGAACAAGUACAGUGAUGGAAAGAUGAAAAGAACUUUGAAAAGAGAGUGAAAAAGUACGUGAAAUUGUUGAAAGGGAAGGGCUUUUGAUCAGACUUGGUGUUUAGUACUCUCUACUCCUUGUGGGUGGGGCUCUUGCUUUAUACUGGGCCAGCAUCGGUUUGGAUGGCAGGAUAAUGGCUGUUGAACGUGGCUUCACUUGUGGAGUGUUAUAGCUUCAGCUGAUACUGCCUAUCUAGACCGAGGACUGCGUCUUUGACUAGGAUGCUGGCGUAAUGAUUAAAAGCCGC